CAGUAAGGCGUGGACAACCUGCCCCGGGCUCCGGGAUAGCCUUCCUAACGGAUGGGUAAUACCGGGUACGCUCCCUUGGAGACAUCUCCGGGGGAGGAUAGUUCCGACGGCCCGGGAGGGGUUCACGUGAUAUUAGCUAGUUGGUGAGGUAACGGCUCACCAAGGCGAAGAUGUCUAGCGGGUGUGAGAGCACGACCCGCGCCACUGGCACUGGGACACUGGCCAGACUCCUACGGGAGGCUGCAGUCGAGGAUCUUCGGCAAUGGGCGCAAGCCCGACCGAGCGACGCCGCGUGAGCGAUGAAGGCCUUCGGGUCGUAAAGCUCUGUCGUGGGGGAGAAAAGGGUUAAACCUUGAUCGACCCCAGGAGGAAGCACGGGCUAAGUUCGUGCCAGCAGCCGCG
rnacentral:rRNA from 1 species